rnacentral:rRNA from 1 species
UACAGAGGUCUCAAGCGUUUGUUCGGGAUUCAUUGGGGCGUAAAGGGUGCGUAGGCGGCGCGGUAAGUCGGGUGUGAAAUCUUGGAGCUUAACUCCGAAACUGCAUUCGAUACUGCCGUGCUUGAGGACUGGAGAGGAGACUGGAAUUUACGGUGUAGCGGUGAAAUGCGUAGAUAUCGUAAGGAAGACCAGUGGCGAAGGCGGGUCUCUGGACAGUUCCUGACGGCU